UUUCCGUAGGUGAACCUGCGGAAGGAUCAUUAUAAAUGAAAAACGAAUAACUUCAGGGAAGAAGGGAAUCUGCACGGUGACCUCCCCUGUCGGGCCACCCAAUACCUUCAAAAUGCCGCCGUCCUAGCGGUGGCAGACGAAAAAAAAACAAGAAAAACAAAAUAGAAACAGGCACGGUGGCCCGUUUACCUUCACACAACCCUCCGAGUACCGCUUCCAUGUUGCUUCCCCGCAAAUCCACCUCUUUGGUGAGCGCGGGGGAGGUCCGCAUCAAAUUCACCUGAAUGUCACAGCAGUCAGACAGCCAUUCAUGGAAACAAUAAAACUUUCAACAACGGAUCUCUUGGUUCCC
rnacentral:misc_RNA from 1 species